rnacentral:rRNA from 1 species
CGGGACACGUGGUAUCCUGUCUGAAUAUGGGGGGACCAUCCUCCAAGGCUAAAUACUCCUGACUGACCGAUAGUGAACCAGUACCGUGAGGGAAAGGCGAAAAGAACCCCGGCGAGGGGAGUGAAAAAGAACCUGAAACCGUGUACGUACAAGCAGUGGGAGCACGCUUAGGCGUGUGACUGCGUACCUUUUGUAUAAUGGGUCAGCGACUUAUAUUCUGUAGCAAGGUUAACCGAAUAGGGGAGCCGAAGGGAAACCGAGUCUUAACUGGGCGUUAAGUUGCAGGGUAUAGACCCGAAACCCGGUGAUCUAGCCAUGGGCAGGUUGAAGGUUGGGUAACACUAACUGGAGGACCGAACCGACUAAUGUUGAAAAAUUAGCGGAUGACUUGUGGCUGGGGGUGAAAGGCCAAUCAAACCGGGAGAUAGCUGGUUCUCCCCGAAAGCUAUUUAGGUAGCGCCUCGUGAAUUCAUCUCCGGGGGUAGAGCACUGUUUCGGCAAGGGGGUCAUCCCGACUUACCAACCCGAUGCAAACUGCGAAUACCGGAGAAUGUUAUCACGGGAGACACACGGCGGGUGCUAACGUCCGUCGUGAAGAGGGAAACAACCCAGACCGCCAGCUAAGGUCCCAAAGUCAUGGUUAAGUGGGAAACGAUGUGGGAAGGCCCAGACAGCCAGGAUGUUGGCUUAGAAGCAGCCAUCAUUUAAAGAAAGCGUAAUAGCUCACUGGUCGAGUCGGCCUGCGCGGAAGAUGUAACGGGGCUAAACCAUGCACCGAAGCUGCGGCAGCGACGCUGAUGCGUUGUUGGGUAGGGGAGCGUUCUGUAAGCCUGUGAAGGUGUGCUGUGAGGCAUGCUGGAGGUAUCAGAAGUGCGAAUGCUGACAUAAGUAACGAUAAAGCGGGUGAAAAGCCCGCUCGCCGGAAGACCAAGGGUUCCUGUCCAACGUUAAUCGGGGCAGGGUGAGUCGACCCCUAAGGCGAGGCCGAAAGGCGUAGUCGAUGGGAAACAGGUUAAUAUUCCUGUACUUGGUGUUACUGCGAAGGGGGGACGGAGAAGGCUAUGUUGGCCGGGCGACGGUUGUCCCGGUUUAAGCGUGUAGGCUGGUUUUCCAGGCAAAUCCGGAAAAUCAAGGCUGAGGCGUGAUGACGAGGCACUACGGUGCUGAAGCAACAAAUGCCCUGCUUCCAGGAAAAGCCUCUAAGCAUCAGGUAACAUCAAAUCGUACCCCAAACCGACACAGGUGGUCAGGUAGAGAAUACCAAGGCGCUUGAGAGAACUCGGGUGAAGGAACUAGGCAAAAUGGUGCCGUAACUUCGGGAGAAGGCACGCUGAUAUGUAGGUGAAGCGACUUGCUCGUGGAGCUGAAAUCAGUCGAAGAUACCAGCUGGCUGCAACUGUUUAUUAAAAACACAGCACUGUGCAAACACGAAAGUGGACGUAUACGGUGUGACGCCUGCCCGGUGCCGGAAGGUUAAUUGAUGGGGUCAGCGCAAGCGAAGCUCUUGAUCGAAGCCCCGGUAAACGGCGGCCGUAACUAUAACGGUCCUAAGGUAGCGAAAUUCCUUGUCGGGUAAGUUCCGACCUGCACGAAUGGCGUAAUGAUGGCCAGGCUGUCUCCACCCGAGACUCAGUGAAAUUGAACUCGCUGUGAAGAUGCAGUGUACCCGCGGCAAGACGGAAAGACCCCGUGAACCUUUACUAUAGCUUGACACUGAACAUUGAGCCUUGAUGUGUAGGAUAGGUGGGAGGCUUUGAAGUGUGGACGCCAGUCUGCAUGGAGCCGGCCUUGAAAUACCACCCUUUAAUGUUU